rnacentral:rRNA from 1 species
UGGGAAUUUUGGACAAUGGGCGCAAGCCUGAUCCAGCCAUGCCGCGUGCGGGAAGAAGGCCUUCGGGUUGUAAACCGCUUUUGUCAGGGAAGAAAUCUUCUGAGUUAGUACCUCGGGAGGAUGACGGUACCUGAAGAAUAAGCACCGGCUAACUACGUGCCAGCAGCCGCGGUAAUACGUAGGGUGCAAGCGUUAAUCGGAAUUACUGGGCGUAAAGCGUGCGCAGGCGGUUUUGUAAGACAGAGGUGAAAUCCCCGGGCUCAACCUGGGAACUGCCUUUGUGACUGCAAGGCUUGAGUGCGGCAGAGGGGGAUGGAAUUCCGCGUGUAGCAGUGAAAUGCGUAGAUAUGCGGAGGAACACCGAUGGCGAAGGCAAUCCCCUGGGCCUGCACUGACGCUCAUGCACGAAAGCGUGGGGAGCAAACAGGAUUAGAUACCCUGGUAGUCCACGCCCUAAAACGAUGUCAACUGGUUGUUGGGAAGGUUCCUUCUCAGUAACGUAGCUAACGCGUGAAGUUGACCGCCUGGGGAGUACGGCCGC